UUUUUUUUUUUAGUUUAUCCUGACUUUUUUUUAACCUAAAUUGUCGUCCUGACUUUUUUUUUUUGCAAGUGUCUCAUCCUGCCUUUUUUUUUUACUCGAAACUCCUGUCCUGCCUAUUUUUUUCAAAUUUCAUCCUAGCCCCCCCCCCAUAAAAAUCAAAUGGUAGCUCCCUUAAAUGUAAAAGUUUCACACCAAAUCUUAUAUUUGACAUCUCAAAAACAAACCCAUUACAGCGGCCCUUCUUUAUAUGGAACUUCGGAAUAUAGGAACCGAAGUGACACCCCUUCCUUUCCUGGAAUUUGAGCCUCCCAAUGGGGUUUUUGAUUACUUGUCUUAACUCAUUGCUGCGAGAGGAUAUGGAAAUACCGGGCGUCCGUCCGUCCAGUCUUGUUAGCGCUGUCAUUUGUACAAUUCUUGCCAGAUUUUUGUGAAACUGAUAUCAUCAUGCAGCAAUCAAUGUCUUUCACACAUGCGAGUAUAAAUCCUGAUCAAAUAUUUUUAACCAAUAUAUGCCCCUUGGAAAUAUAAAUUAUAAAUGCAAAUCUCAUUGUAUUUGUUUGGAAGCUUUUUCUCUCGAGAUAUAAAUUAAAGAACAGAAAAAGUGUUUUGUUUUUAGUUUUUGCCCUCUUGUACAUAAAAUGUAUCUUGGAUGCGGGGGACAUUGGAUCUCUGAUCUUUUAUUGAAAACAACAUUACUAUUUGUACCUAGAUGGAAAAGGGUAUUCGCGAGUCCUGGAAUAAAAACACUUCAUUACAAAUAGAGUCGUCGUCUUUCGUGCCACAGAAAACGAUAUCAGGAUAUGAUGAUUCAGAUGUUUUUAUCCAUCUUGUUUACAUAAAGGAAAAACCACGCAUAUGGCUUCGGAAUUGAUUGGAAGCUAUUCUCAUAUUCUCAUAUACAUUCGGAUACCAUCAUGUGUAUAUGCUGUCAACUGUCAUUAUAUAAUUAUUAAAGAAAUUUUUUUUGUCAAAUUGAUAUGGAUGCUUGAGCAUCUGCUCAUACAUGCAAGCUACGCCACUG
rnacentral:lncRNA from 1 species